rnacentral:rRNA from 1 species
AAGACGGAAAGACCCCGUGAACCUUUACUAUAGCUUGACACUGAACAUUGAGCCUUGAUGUGUAGGAUAGGUGGGAGGCUUUGAAGUGUGGACGCCAGUCUGCAUGGAGCCGACCUUGAAAUACCACCCUUUAAUGUUUGAUGUUCUAACGUUGACCCGUAAUCCGGGUUGCGGACAGUGUCUGGUGGGUAGUUUGACUGGGGCGGUCUCCUCCUAAAGAGUAACGGAGGAGCACGAAGGUUGGCUAAUCCUGGUCGGACAUCAGGAGGUUAGUGCAAUGGCAUAAGCCAGCUUGACUGCGAGCGUGACGGCGCGAGCAGGUGCGAAAGCAGGUCAUAGUGAUCCGGUGGUUCUGAAUGGAAGGGCCAUCGCUCAACGGAUAAAAGGUACUCCGGGGAUAACAGGCUGAUACCGCCCAAGAGUUCAUAUCGACGGCGGUGUUUGGCACCUCGAUGUCGGCUCAUCACAUCCUGGGGCUGAAGUAGGUCCCAAGGGUAUGGCUGUUCGCCAUUUAAAGUGGUACGCGAGCUGGGUUUAGAACGUCGUGAGACAGUUCGGUCCCUAUCUGCCGUGGGCGCUGGAGAACUGAGGGGGGCUGCUCCUAGUACGAGAGGACCGGAGUGGACGCAUCACUGGUGUUCGGGUUGUCAUGCCAAUGGCACUGCCCGGUAGCUAAAUGCGGAAGAGAUAAGUGCUGAAAGCAUCUAAGCACGAAACUUGCC